rnacentral:tRNA from 1 species
GCGGAUGUAGCUCAGCUGGAUAGAGUAUUGCCCUCCGAAGGCAGUGGUCGCUGGUUCGACUCCAGUCAUCCGCACCA